rnacentral:lncRNA from 1 species
UCUUGCUUUGCUUGAAGCAACGAUUCCCGGGUUUGACUCAAACUACAUUAGAUACCAGCAAAAUCCAAUGCAACAAGGUUUGGAAUUUCGAACCUGAAAACUACUUCAUAUCCCCUCUGAAUGUUUGGAAUUUCGAACCUGAAAACUACUUCAUAUCCCCUCUGAAUGUUUUUAUUCAUACCUUAUUUUUCGAACUUUCAGGAUGUUGGAAAGUCCAUUCUUGAAAGCUAUUCAAGAGUUUUGGAAAGCCUUGCAUACAACAUCGUUGCACGUAUU